AUUGAACGCUGGCGGCAGGCCUAACACAUGCAAGUCGAGCGGAGCGCCGGUCGGGGGCGUAAUGCCUAGGUAUCUGCCUGGUCGCGGGGGAUAAGGUCCGCAAAUGGGCGCUAAUACCGCAUCCUAUUGGCUUCGCCUAGGUCGGAUUAGCCAGUGGGUGGGGUAAGGGUAUACGCAGGCGACGAUCCGUAACUGGGCUGAGAGGAUGAUCAGUCACACUGGAACUGAGACACGGUCCAGACUCCUACGGGAGGCAGCAGUGGGGAAUAUUGGACAAUGGGCGAAAGCCUGAUGCAGCCAUGCCGCGUGUGUGAAGAAGGUCUUCGGAUUGUAAAGCACUUUAAGUGGGGAGGCGUUACCAACAGAAUAAGCACCGGCUAACUUCGUGCCAGCAGCCGCGGUAAUUC
rnacentral:rRNA from 1 species